rnacentral:rRNA from 1 species
UACGUAGGGGGCAAGCGUUGUCCGGAUUUACUGGGCGUAAAGAGCGUGUAGGCGGCCACGCAGGUCCGUUGUGAAAACUGGAGGCUUAACCUCCAGACGUCGACGGAAACCGCGUGGCUAGAGUCCGGAAGAGGAGAGUGGAAUUCCUGGUGUAGCGGUGAAAUGCGCAGAUAUCAGGAAGAACACCAAUGGCGAAGGCAGCUCUCUGGGACGGUACUGACGCUGAGACGCGAAAGCGUGGGGAGCGAACAGG